rnacentral:rRNA from 1 species
UACGUAGGGUGCAAGCAUUAAUCGGAAUUACUGGGCGUAAAGCGUGCGCAGGCGGUUUUGUAAGUCUGUCGUGAAAUCCCCGGGCUUAACCUGGGAAUUGCGAUGGAGACUGCAAGGCUAGAAUCUGGCAGAGGGGGGUAGAAUUCCACGUGUAGCAGUGAAAUGCGUAGAGAUGUGGAGGAACACCGAUGGCGAAGGCAGCCCCCUGGGUCAAGAUUGACGCUCAUGCACGAAAGCGUGGGGAGUAAACAGG